rnacentral:rRNA from 1 species
UGGGUAGGGGAGCGUUCUGUAAGCCUGUGAAGGUGGCCUGUGAGGGUUGCUGGAGGUAUCAGAAGUGCGAAUGCUGACAUAAGUAACGAUAAAGCGGGUGAAAAGCCCGCUCGCCGGAAGACCAAGGGUUCCUGUCCAACGUUAAUCGGGGCAGGGUGAGUCGACCCCUAAGGCGAGGCCGAAAGGCGUAGUCGAUGGGAAACGGGUUAAUAUUCCCGUACUUGGUGUUACUGCGAAGGGGGGACGGAGAAGGCUAUGUUGGCCGGGCGACGGUUGUCCCGGUUUAAGCGUGUAGGCUGGUUUUCCAGGCAAAUCCGGAAAAUCAAGGCUGAGGCGUGACGACGAGGCACUACGGUGCUGAAGCAACAAAUGCCCUGCUUCCAGGAAAAGCCUCUAAGCAUCAGGUAACAUCAAAUCGUACCCCAAACCGACACAGGUGGUCAGGUAGAGAAUACCAAGGCGCUUGAGAGAACUCGGGUGAAGGAACUAGGCAAAAUGGUGCCGUAACUUCGGGAGAAGGCACGCUGACACGUAGGUGAAGUGAUUUACUCAUGGAGCUGAAGUCAGUCGAAGAUACCAGCUGGCUGCAACUGUUUAUUAAAAACACAGCACUGUGCAAACACGAAAGUGGACGUAUACGGUGUGACGCCUGCCCGGUGCCGGAAGGUUAAUUGAUGGGGUCAGCGCAAGCGAAGCUCCUGAUCGAAGCCCCGGUAAACGGCGGCCGUAACUAUAACGGUCCUAAGGUAGCGAAAUUCCUUGUCGGGUAAGUUCCGACCUGCACGAAUGGCGUAAUGAUGGCCAGGCUGUCUCCACCCGAGACUCAGUGAAAUUGAACUCGCUGUGAAGAUGCAGUGUACCCGCGGCAAGACGGAAAGACCCCGUGAACCUUUACUAUAGCUUGACACUGAACAUUGAGCCUUGAUGUGUAGGAUAGGUGGGAGGCUUUGAAGUGUGGACGCCAGUCUGCAUGGAGCCGACCUUGAAAUACCACCCUUUAAUGUUUGAUGUUCUAACGUGGACCCGUAAUCCGGGUUGCGGACAGUGUCUGGUGGGUAGUUUGACUGGGGCGGUCUCCUCCUAAAGAGUAACGGAGGAGCACGAAGGUUGGCUAAUCCUGGUCGGACAUCAGGAGGUUAGUGCAAUGGCAUAAGCCAGCUUGACUGCGAGCGUGACGGCGCGAGCAGGUGCGAAAGCAGGUCAUAGUGAUCCGGUGGUUCUGAAUGGAAGGGCCAUCGCUCAACGGAUAAAAGGUACUCCGGGGAUAACAGGCUGAUACCGCCCAAGAGUUCAUAUCGACGGCGGUGUUUGGCACCUCGAUGUCGGCUCAUCACAUCCUGGGGCUGAAGUAGGUCCCAAGGGUAUGGCUGUUCGCCAUUUAAAGUGGUACGCGAGCUGGGUUUAGAACGUCGUGAGACAGUUCGGUCCCUAUCUGCCGUGGGCGCUGGAGAACUGAGGGGGGCUGCUCCUAGUACGAGAGGACCGGAGUGGACGCAUCACUGGUGUUCGGGUUGUCAUGCCAAUGGCACUGCCCGGUAGCUAAAUGCGGAAGAGAUAAGUGCUGAAAGCAUCUAAGCACGAAACUUGCCCCGAGAUGAGUUCU